UAGGGAAUCUUCCGCAAUGGGCGAAAGCUUGACGGAGCAACGCCGCGUGAGUGAUGAAGGUCUUCGGAUCGUAAAACUCUGUUAUUAGGGAAGAACAAAUGUGUAAGUAACUAUGCGCGUCUUGACGGUACCUAAUCAGAAAGCCACGGCUAACUACGUGCCAGCAGCCGCGGUAAUACGUAGGUGGCAAGCGUUAUCCGGAAUUAUUGGGCGUAAAGCGCGCGUAGGCGGUUUUUUAAGUCUGAUGUGAAAGCCCACGGCUCAACCGUGGAGGGUCAUUGGAAACUGGAAAACUUGAGUGCAGAAGAGGAAAGUGGAAUUCCAUGUGUAGCGGUGAAAUGCGCAGAGAUAUGGAGGAACACCAGUGGCGAAGGCGACUUUCUGGUCUGUAACUGACGCUGAUGUGCGAAAGCGUGGGGAUCAAACAGG
rnacentral:rRNA from 1 species